AUGGCUCUGCACUGUUGAGUAGAACUCUUCCUCCAAAUCCAAUCCAACUAUUGGAUUAAGAUGUUCUAAAAUUUGCUACCUAACUGCCUCAUCUAUAUCCAUAUCUCUGUUGGGAAUUUACAGGUUGCAGAAGCAGUAGAGUGGCUUAUGUCAUGUAGGCAACUGGUGGCUACAAGGAUCCGUAUGUAAACAUGGUAUGUGAAAUUUGUGCUACACAGGAAUGGAAAUGCCAAUUUACAAAAUAUAAUAUGCAUGUGUGGUAGACGAUUACUUGGGGUAGCCAAAUAAAACUUGGAACCAGUAUAACUUCAGUGUGGCUAUGAAAAAUUAGAUGGAGAUAGUGGUUUGUUACCUAUUGUUGUAACUAAAAAAUUCUAGUUACGCAGUAGAAAGCAAGGUGAAUUGGAAAUCAAUUAUUAAAUCUGCUUUAUAGGCUUUUGCUAAAGAGAUAAACUGAGGGAUACUAAUAUCAUGGUUUCAUUGAAGCUUAUUUGUCGUCUUGAAUCCCGAUUUGGACAAGAACUCCCCCAUGAUCCUUUAUCCCUGUAAAGCAGCAUUGUGCAUUGCUAUUGGAUGAC
rnacentral:lncRNA from 1 species